GCGCCGUUAGCUCAGCUGGAUAGAGUGCUUGGCUACGAACCAAGAGGUCGGGAGUUCGAAUCUCUUACGGCGUG
rnacentral:tRNA from 1 species